ensembl:lncRNA
CCCUGCCGCCCCCAGAGCGCCGCGCCGCAGCCGAGCGGCCCCUCGCUGUGCAGAGGGGACUGAGACCGAGAGGUGACCGAGACCGAGAGAGGACUGAGACCGAGAGGGAACCGCGAGGGCGGGAGGGAAGCUCCGCGAGCCGGCACCAGCGCCACGGCCCAAAUCCCAGCCUCUACAGGUGCUCACCGCGCGACUGCCUGUCCCAGGCGCCCUGGCUGCGCGCCCUCUCUAGGGCCUGGGAGCAGCCUGAGUCCUGGGGGCGGCCCGGCAUGGGCCUCCCACCCCAGGAGACGCCCUUCUCGCCUGGCCCUCCAAGUCGCCUGGGCGGGACUCGGAUGCCCGGGGGCCACAAACCUCUCCCCCGUGAAUUCAGCAGGGAGGCCGGGGAGGCACGCUGCUCCCCCGCUCAGCCUUGCCCAGUAUCCAGACCUUUCGAAAGAAGCCAGAAAAUUCAUAUUUGCUUGGGAACCGCCCACAAUUCAAUAGCUUUUCAAAACAGUGCGGGAAGAAAAAUGGGUUUGGCCCACCAGCAGCCAGCGGGCACCCUCCCAGCCUCUUCAUGGACUCUCCUUCAGAUUUUGGGCGCCCGGCCCCAUUAGAGCCAUCUGUGGGCAUUUCCUUCAGAUCUUCCUCCACUUAAACAUGCUUAUUGAAAAAGAAGACUCCUUUUCUCUUUCCCUAUCGUAAUUAGAAACCCAGCGUCCUGUGGCGUAAAAGCCAGGUAGCCUCGGAAGUGAAAUAGGGCGAUUAGAACAGACACAGGGCCUGUUCCGCCCGACCCUGCUGCAUCUGGUGGACAAGCCUCCAGGGCUACUGAUGACCCAUGCCCUCCGACCUCACGGGAGGGGCGGGCCGAAGACAGGCCUUUCUAGAAGGGCCCUGGAAGCGGCUUCAGGGAGUCUGGGAACCAAAGCAGCUACCCUGUCCGUGGCACUGUCCAGCCCUGGGCACCACGGCCCCGCCGGGAGUGGAAGCUGCCAGCCUUCGGAGAGGCCCCCACUCCAGGAUCAAGACCCAGCCCAGUCACGGCCUGGCUCACGAGGCCCCACCUCAACUGCCCCUGACCUCUCUGCGCCCGCUGCUCCCGCCAGCCCUGCCGGCCGCUGCCCUGGAGAAGGAGCUCCAGACGGAUCCCCAGUGAGUAGGAGGCAGCCGUGUGAGUCAGGCGGCUGAGGGAACGGGCUGCACCGCGGAGAGGAGGUGCGAAGCAGCGCGCCGUUUCCGGGCUCUGGGAAGCCGAGCUGCCGAGGCGUAAGCUGGGAGGUGGACGUGACGGGGGGAGUGGGGAAAGGCAGGCGGCGGGACGGCCACACAGCGGAAUAUUAUGCAACCUAUAAAAAAUUUAAUUAACUCCCUACCAAUAGACUUAAAGGGAUUUCUAUAAGGUAUUGUUGGGUGAGAAAAGCAAUUUGAAGAUAAGAAUGUAACAUACGAUCCCAUUUUUAUAAAACAAUGGGCAAAAUACUCUGUGAGUUUGUGUGUAUAUAUGUAUAUGUAUAUAGACCUGUAUAGGAUGUUAUUAACACAAAGGAAAAUUCAGGAUACAUGCUAGGUUGUUAAUAGGGGUUUUCUUCACGGAAACCUAUUGUGGGAGAAAGGGAACCAAGAAAAAAAGGAUCUGAGAAAUAAAGACUGCCCUUAAAAGAUGAAUGACUGCAGCUAACUGUGUCCCCAACACCCACCCCUACCAAAGCUAGACAUGGGGGAGUGGUCUCGGCCAUCACCUUCUCCCCAUCCCAGCAUCUGCUCCUCUCAUGUGGCAGCCAGCCACUAGCCACCCCCCAACACACACACGCCUGUGCGCAAACACACACACCCAGCCCAGUCUCCACAUAGCCAACCCUCUGAGGGUUCCAGUUGCCCUGAGAGUGAGAUCCACUUCAACACAGACUUCAAGUUCCUUCCCCCAGCCCCACUGACCUCUGCAGGCUCAGUCCUCACUGCUCCCCCAAACCCCACCCCACCAACUCCCUGCACUGCCAAGUAGCCCAGGGUCCAGCCACUGUGUUCUCAACUCUGAGCCUCUGCACCUGUCAGAACAAGCUUGCAUUGAUAUUGGCUAUAUUCCAGUCUCUGUUCUGAGCACUUGACAUUUAUUGAAAGCAUUUAAUCCUCACAACAACCCUAUAAACGUGUAUAAUAUUCUGCAUAGUAUUCUUGUAGAUGGGAAAAUGAAAACACAGAAAGGUAAGUCAUUUGCCUAAGGUUGCACAGCUGGUUAGUUAACAGGGAAAGUGGCUCCAGAGCCUGCACUCUUGACCACUGUGCUAAACCCUCAUUUGUGCCUUUAGACAUACUGUUCCCUCUGUCUGGAACUCUCUUUAGUUUCUCUCUUCUCUUGGCUAAAUCCUAAUCCCCACUAGAUAUCAACUGAGAUAUCACCUCCUCCAGGAAGCCUUCUCUGACCCCCCAUAUCUGGGUUGGGUGUUCUUCUGAGGUUCCCUACACAGUGCAGUCAUUCCUUGAUCACAACAUUUCUUCCAUACUGUGGUGGUUGGACGUCCACACUAGGCUGUGCUCCUGGAAGGCACGGGCUUUAUUUCACUCUUUGGAAGAAGGGUCCCAAGUCCCUGGAACAAUGAUGCCCUGUGUUAGUAGCUCAGCCUACAUCUACUGAAUAAAAGGUGGAUAUCAGUACAUCAGAUAGGCUGGGAACCAUCUCUCCAAGUACACAGGAUGGGCCAGGAAAGUCGGUCGGGCCUCUUUCAGGACCACGGAGAGCUCUUUGGCUGCCAGCCACCUCUGCUGUAGGGGUCUCCAGGUUUGUUUCUUUGUUCUCUGAGAGACUCGAUUCUGGCCUGGACAAGACUCCCCAGACUUUGAAUGUUAGCUGGCUUGACUGAGCGGCAACAAUAGGGCAGGGGGCAGCAGGAGUCUCAGGACUGGCUAAUCCGCCGCUUGGGCGGAGCAGCAACCCCAGGGUCCCACAGUCAGUCACACCCCAUCUCCUAUAUACUUUUUAACCAACACAAAGUUUUAAAAAGUAGUUAGAGAGCCUGUUGGAACCAGCACCAAAUCUAUGUGUUUUCUCGAAUUAUCGAACUAGAAAGAAAUGAAAACAUCAAAAUACUCUCUUUGUACCAGGCUCGAAUUGAGCUGCUGCCUCAUUCAGUCCAUGUCUCGGUCCGACUACAAUGAUGAAGCAAUGGAAGGGAGAGUGGAUUGAAAGGGAGCGAGGCUCAGCGGGGAGCCUCAGAUUGCCAUUCGAAGACCACGGGGAGCCCAGAAUGGGUCCCUGCUUGGGAGGAGAGAAGAGAAACAAGAUUGACAGGUGAAGAGAUGGGGGAGGGCAAGAGGGGGCCAGGGCUGGAGCAGGCAGAGACACAAAGAGGUACUCUCCUCCUCCAAUCAGUUCUGCCCAGAACACAGGCAGGACCCUGCCUGGUGCCAGCCUGAACCUCCAGAGAUGGGUCCCUACCCACUGCAGCUGGCCAAAUGGGGAGGGCCUGCAGAGGGGCAGAGAAGUCAGAGCCAUCAGUGCCCCCACAGAAGAAGGUGCAGGCCACUGAGGAAGCACAGGAGUGCAGCAGGCAGAAAGAACAGCGUGUGCAGGCAGGAGGUGUAUGCAUGAUGGCAGGGUUUCGAGGACAGCCCAGU